rnacentral:rRNA from 1 species
GUGGGGAAUCUUGCGCAAUGGGCGAAAGCCUGACGCAGCCAUGCCGCGUGAAUGAUGAAGGUCUUAGGAUUGUAAAAUUCUUUCACCGGGGACGAUAAUGACGGUACCCGGAGAAGAAGCUCCGGCUAACUUCGUGCCAGCAGCCGCGGUAAUACGAAGGGGGCUAGCGUUGCUCGGAAUUACUGGGCGUAAAGGGCGCGUAGGCGGACAGCUUAGUCAGAGGUGAAAGCCCAGGGCUCAACCUUGGAAUUGCCUUUGAUACUGGCUGUCUUGAGUUUGGGAGAGGUGAGUGGAACUCCGAGUGUAGGGGUGAAAUUCGUAGAUAUUCGGAAGAACACCAGUGGCGAAGGCGACUCACUGGCCCAAUACUGACGCUGAGGCGCGAAAGCGUGGGGAGCAAACAGGAUUAGAAACCCCUGUAGUCC